rnacentral:rRNA from 1 species
GACCGGCGGACGGGUGCGUAACGCGUAUGCAACCUGCCUGACACAGGGGGAUAAUCCGAAGAAAUUUGGUCUAAUACCCCAUAAUACCGAUAUAGGCAUCUAUGUUGGUUGAAAGCUUUGGUGGUGUCGGAUGGGCAUGCGUUGUAUUAGCUAGUUGGUGAGGUAACGGCUCACCAAGGCGACGAUACAUAGGGGGACUGAGAGGUUAACCCCCCACACUGGUACUGAGACACGGACCAGACUCCUACGGGAGGCAGCAUG